GAAGAGGAGAGUAGAUGAGGGGAUCACUGGUCCCGAAUUGGUUGUGCUUGUGCAGCUGGGAUAGUCACCGAGGGACUGAGUCAUUGAGGCAUAAAGAUGAGAUCUGUAGCGGUUGCAAUAAGUAUAUAGAGUUGGAAUUUGCUCUUCUCUAAUUCACAACUCUUAGUCAAAAUGGAGUACAGGAAAAUCAGGGAUGAGGUGUUUUUAAUAUGUAGCUGAGAAAUUUGCUAUCAUAUUUCUUCCAUUCACUCAAUAAUAAACUAGAGUUGAUUUGACACACCUAUGUGUUGUAGGGUGAUGAUAGGGAGAUCGGCGUCGAGGACGUUGAGAGUUUACGUGAAAAAUCGGUUUUGCUGUCUUCUCUUCUUCUGUCUUAUAUUGUAUCGGUUGGAUAAUUAGAUGUAUUGUGUUUGCAACUUCACCAUUGGAAUAGCUUUAACCUCUUUUCCCCUGUUCACUGUUUUGCAGUCCUAGACAACCGUUUGGCCUCCGUGGGAGAAACCAAAACCGAUAGCCACAGGGCGAAAGCAAAGUGGAAACUCAAGUCAGUUGUUACACUUGCAUUGACUGUUCUUACUAGUUCGCAAGCCAUUCUAAUCGUUUGGUCCAAGAGAGCUGGCAAGUACGAGUAUAGUGUAACCACCGCAAACUUUCUGUUAUAGGUGGAGACUUUAAAAUGUGCUAUAUCCCUUGUGGCUCUUGCAAGAAUAUGGAAAAAGGACGGUGUCACUGAGGACAAUCGGUUAGCAUAAUCCUUUUUCCUUAAAUUUUUUGAUCUGAUUGUGAAUUUAGUGAAAGAUUUUGGUUAUGUUUUACAUUCUGUUGAUGAAAAGGGAAAAAAGUUUGGAUAACUAGUUAAAGAGGUGGAAUAAGGUUUUUCUUACAUUGAAAAUUUGAGUGACAACUUGCAUUUUGGCCAUUUACAAGCAAGCACAAAAGCAUAAGGUAACCAAAGUACAUGUUUCUACGAACUCAUAAUGUUACUUUGGAAGCUGAAGCAUUAUACUGAGAUUUUGGGUUGUAUUCCUCAGGGUGAAUCUUUACUACAUUUCGAUAUUCAAGGAUGGAAACAGGUUAGGCGACCUAUUUAGGGCCUGUCGCUUGCUAAAAUAUAGAAGCAGGCUCAGGCUUUUUGAAAAGCCUAUUUAUCUUAGCAACCUAGGCCUAGGUUUGCGGAAAAGCGAGUAGACUUGCUGGCUGUCCUGGGCUUAUUUAGAUUUAGAAAUGUAUAUAAAUGUAAUGUAAUUUAAUCUACUAAACGCUUGUUAGACUUAUCUAGCCUAUUUUAGGCAUUAUGCAUACAUUUAGCCUAUUUGAGCUUUAGUCUUGCAUUGUGUGCAGUAAAAAAAAUCCUCGCCACGAAGCCUUUACCCUCCUUAAUGGGACUUCAAGUAAAUUUGGGCAGGAUUAAUUCUCAGUAGUAGAACUUGGAUGCCAAUGAUUCAAUUGAGAGAAAAAUAAUAAAUAUACAUUUUUAUUGUUAGUCAAUAUGUUUUUCUAAAUGGCAGGCCAAGCUUAAGAACAAAUCAGGCUUAGAUUAAUAAGUUUUAAUAUAGGCUUGGCCUGUUUCUACCAUUACAAAGCAAAACAUUAACUCUUUUGCAUGGCAUGUUUGGAGAAAGAGAGAAUAAAGAAAAGAAAAAGAAAGGGGGAGGGAGGGGGAGAAGGGAGAUUCUAAGCAGUAAUAUUUUCAGUAGGCCAGUGGUUUCACUUGAUAAGUUCUGUUGGUGAUUUCAUCCUUUUAUCUAAGCAUUAUGACUUCUGUAUGUGUAUGUGUUUCCUUUUCUGAUGAGAGAUUUUUCAUGUUGUCUUUUGUUGGAGAAUGAAUUUGAAUAAGUCGUUGUAUAUUGUUUCUUGCAUCUAGGUUGAGCACCACAUUAGAUGAAGUUAUAGUGUAUCCCAUUCCAGCAGCACUUUACCUUGUCAAAAAUUUGCUUCAGAUUGGUGAUGCAUGUCUAUGUUUGUUAUGGUCGCAAUUGAUUAUUAUGUAACUUUGAUUUUGCAACAGAUACCAUCCAAAAUCUGAUUGUAUUUACUCUUCAAUUUUAUGGCAGUAUUACAUUUUUCAAUAUGUAGAUGCUCCUGUCUAUCAGAUAUUAAAAAACUUGAAUAUUAUCAGUACAUGUGUUUUCUACUGAAUUAUACUCAAGAAGAGGUAGCUUUUGUUCUUUAUUUUCAAUAUAAAAAAAUUAUUGUCAAUUCUCAUUUCAUUGUCAUAAUCUUUUAUUAAGGAUUGAGGCAG